UGAGGGCCUCGACCUGAAUUCUCUGGUUGAGCUCCGACCUUGAAGAAGCGAAACUAAUACUCAGAAUCCAAAUACUCUAUUUCCAAGGCGCACUUAUUAAGCACGAUUGCACGAUCUUGAUCCUGCUGACCAAAACACCACGUGGCAUCCUUUAACACGGCUAAUCCCUAAUAAUGACGUUUAAAGUGUGCGGCUCCCUGAACUGUCAUA
rnacentral:lncRNA from 1 species